rnacentral:rRNA from 1 species
AUGGCAGAACAGACUGAGAAGGCUUUCCUGAAGCAGCCUAAGGUGUUCCUCUGCUCAAAGAAGACCACAAAGGGGAAUAAUAAGCCUGGCAAGGAGGGCAGCAGGUUCUGGAAGAGUGUUGGCCUUGGUUUCAAGACUCCCAAGGAAGCCAUUGAGGGAACCUACAUUGAUAAGAAGUGCCCAUUCACUGGCACUGUGUCAGUUAGAGGUCGCAUCAUUGCUGGAACAUGUCAUAGUGCUAAAAUGAACAGGACCAUCAUUGUUCGUAGGAACUACCUUCACUAUGUCAAAAAAUACCAGAGGUAUGAGAAGAGGCACUCCAACAUCCCUGCCCACAUUUCCCCUUGCUUCCGUGUGAGAGAAGGAGAUCACGUGAUCAUUGGCCAGUGCAGGCCGCUGUCCAAGACGGUGCGGUUCAAUGUGUUGAAGGUGGUCCCAGCAGGGUCAAAGAGUGGUGCGGUGAAGAAGGCGUUCACCGGUGCGUGA